rnacentral:tRNA from 1 species
GCCUUUGUGGUGUAAAGGUAGCACACUCGGCGUGUAUUCGAGAGAUGCAGGUUCAAGUCUCGGCGAGGGCA